rnacentral:rRNA from 1 species
CCAACUCCGAACCUACAAACGCCGCUCGACGCAGGGAGUCCGGUGCACGGGGUAAGCCUGUGUACCGUGAGGGAGACAACCCAGAGCUGGGUUAAGGUCCCCAAGUGUAGACUAAGUGCGAUCGAAGGUGGUCUCAAGCCCUAGACAGCCGGGAGGUGAGCUUAGAAGCAGCUACCCUCUAAGAAAAGCGUAACAGCUUACCGGCCGAGGUUUGAGGCGCCCAAAAUGAUCGGGCUCAAGUCUACCACCGAGACCUAGCAGCACCUUUCAGAAGGUGAUCUCGUAGGUUGGCGUUCUGUUCGGGUGGAAGCACGGAAGAGAUUUCGUGUGGACCGUUCAGUAACGAAAAUCCUGGUCAUAGUAGCAGCGUUAGUCGGGUUAGAACCCCGACGGCCGAACGAGUAAGGGUUCCUCAGCAAUGCUGAUCAGCUGAGGGUUAGCCGGUCCUAAGUCAGCCCGUAAGUCGAAGCUGACAACAGGGAAAUAGGUUAAUAUUCCUAUGCCAGUGUGCACUCAAAGCCGACGCUUUGGGGCCGCCCGAGCUGGGCUUUCGCCCAGUCGAACAGUCGAAAUUCGUGGAAGCCGUAAUGGCACGAAGCGAACGAAUGGCUGGAUCGCGCAAGUCAGGCCAACCUAGAGCCCGUGAAAAGGCGAGCACACUGUCCGUACCGAGAUCCGACACAGGUACUCAUGGCGGCGAAAGCCAAGGUCUGUCGGGAUCAACCGACGUUAGGGAAUUCGGCAAGUUAGUCCCGUACGUUCGCAAUAAGGGAUGCCUGCCUCGCGAAGAGGCAGGUCGCAGUGACUCGGGCGCUCCGACUGUCUAGUAACAACAUAGGUGACCGCAAAUCCGCAAGGACUCGUACGGUCACUGAAUCCUGCCCAGUGCAGGUAUCUGAACACCCCGUACAAGGGGACGAAGGACCUGUUAACGGCGGGGGUAACUAUGACCCUCUUAAGGUAGCGUAGUACCUUGCCGCUUCAGUAGCGGCUUGCAUGAAUGGAUCAACGAGAGCGCCACUGUCCCAACGUUGGGCCCGGUGAACUGUACGUUCCAGUGCGGAGUCUGGAGACCCCCAAGGGGAAGCGAAGACCCUAUAGAGCUUUACUGCAGCUGUCACUGAGACGUGGUCGCCAUUGUGCAGCAUAGGUAGGAGCCAGUACACAGGUACCCGCGCUAGCGGGCCACCGAGGCAACAUUGAAAUACUACCGAUGGUGACUGCGACUCUCACUCCUGGCGGAGGACACUGGUAGCCGGGCAGUUUGACUGGGGCGGUACGCGCCUGAAAAGAUAUCGGGCGCGCCCCAAGAUUUCCUCACUCGGGUCGGAGACCCGAGGAAGAGCGCAAGAGCAAAAGGAAGUCUGACAGUGUCCGGCACAACGACGGACGCUGACGCGAAAGCGUGGUCUAGCGAACCAAUUAGGCUGCUUGAUGCGGCCAAUUGCUGACAGAAAAGCUACCUUAGGGAUAACAGAGUCGUCACCCGCAAGAGCACAUAUCGACCGGGUGGCUUGCUACCUCGAUGUCGGUUCCCUCCAUCCUGCCCGUGCAGAAGCGGGCAAGGGUGAGGUUGUUCGCCUAUUAAAGGAGGUCGUGAGCUGGGUUUAGACCGUCGUGAGACAGGUCGGCUGCUAUCUAUUGGGGGUGUUACGGUAUCUGACGGGAACGUUCGUAUAGUACGAGAGGAACUACGAAUGGGUGCCACUCGUGUACCAGCUGUCCGAAAGGGCACGUGCUGGGCAGCGACGCACCACGGGGUAAGAGCUGAACGCAUCUAAGCUCGAAACCCACCUGGAAAAGAGAUACCACCGAGGCCACUCGUAGAAGACGAGAUCGAUAGACUCGGGGUGUACGCACCAAGCAACGAGGUGUUGAGCCCGCGAGCACUAACCGGCCAAGCCACACAUU